rnacentral:rRNA from 1 species
GACGAACGCUGGCGGCGUGCCUAAUACAUGCAAGUUGAGCGAUAAGGCUCGGUGCUUGCGCCAUUCUGGAGAGCAGCGCACGGGUGAGUAACGCGUGGGGAAUCUGCCUUUGAUCGGGGGACAACAUGUGGAAACGAAUGCUAAUACCGCAUAACAACUUUAAACAUAAGUUUUAAGUUUGAAAGAUGCAAUUGCAUCACUCAAAGAUGAUCCCGCGUUGUAUUAGCUAGUUGGUGAGGUAAAGGCGCACCAAGGCGAUGAUACAUAGCCGAACUGAGAGGGUGAGCGGCCGCAUUGGGACGGAGACACGGCCCAAACGCCUACAGGAGGCAGCAGUAGGGAAUCUUCGGCAAUGGACGAAAGUCUGACCGAGCAAGGCGGCGUGAGUGAGGAGGGUUUUCGGAUGGUAAAUCUCGGUUGGUAGAGAAGAACGUUGGUGAGCGUGGAAAGCACAGCAAGUGACGGUAACUACUCAGAAAGGGACGGCUAACUACGUG